rnacentral:misc_RNA from 1 species
CAGUUUACAAAAAGGAAUGAAGGAAUUAAAGGGAAAACAGAGUGACACAGAUUUGUCCUGUUUCUGUGCUCCUAAUAAAAAAAAAAAACCUGUUGAUUCUAUCCUUCUUCUUAAAUUAAUACAAAUUCGUUUUGUUUUAAAACAUUAUUACAAAAAGAAUGAUGUUCAUAAUGAGAAAUGAACAAUUCAAGAAGGAUGAUAAGGUAUAUACUCAUGUUCAAUUGCAGGCGUGGUCCGAGUAACAGUUGCUGUAGGUGCCCUCACAUGGCCAACCAUUGACACUUGCAGAGCUUCCUCUUCGUAGGCUCUUCUUUCCAUCUCCUCCAUUUUUGCUCUCUUCUUUGCAUUAACAAACAUUGCCACCAAAAGCAAACCCAGAAGGAGUACGCCCAAGGCAGUCCCAACCGUGCUCCCCACCACCACUUUCCACAGGCUGAUCUUCUUUCUUGCUUGCCCUGGUGCUCCUGCUGAUGGUGGGGGCGAUUCGAUCACCAAACCAUAAUGUCCACGCCUUGUGACUACACAAAUAUUAUGCGAUGCUGGGGUUUUCAGUUUCACCUUGCCGUCAUUUUCAAAACUAGCACAGAGUGGCCUAAUUCCUGAUGGGUGGGCUAUACUGGUUGCAUUGGUAAAGUCUAUAGUGAUUGGUUUUUCUCCAGCAUGGAUUCCAAGCUCGACAGGAUUGCUAAAAUUCACAUCACUGCCAUCAUUAUAUGCUAAAAGGCCUAAAAUGGGGGACACAAGCUGAUAUCCUGACAAGUCAAAGCAGGCAUAAUAUAUAGAAGACCAGUUAUGCCCUAAAUUUUGUCUAAUUACCAUGACUCUUUGCACACAUGGCUCCACAAUUACACCAAUACCAAGAUGGAAUUCCUUUACCUGAGCGCCAUAUCUCCUCAGACUGCCACAUCGGAACUUCACAGUAUCCACUUCGAUGCCGGAGAAGUUUGCAGGUAAAUGUACAGUGUGUAUUAUACCUGUCUUGUUGUUUAUGUCAUAGGACUUGAAUGUGUAAUCUCUAAUGACAAGAUCGAGAAGACGGGCAGAUUUGAUCCCUUGAGCUUCAUUUCUAAUGGAUGCCAAGGACAGUAGAGUUAUCAAGGAGAAAGAGAGGAGGAAGCCCAUGUGAGAAUGUGAACUUGGUAUAAAAGGAGCUGGUCAGGACUAGAGUGGUUUUGCAAAUUAAAGGAAAAGGGAAUGAUUUCUAUGGAAAAUAGUUCCACCGAGAAGCUACUUCUCUUCCUGUGGAUAAGUAACAAGAAAGGAGUUGCAAAGAAGAAAGCUGAGACUGUUCAGGGAAAUUUAUGAUGGGGAAAAGACAGCUUUCAGUGGAUUAAAAAAGAAGAAGAAAGUUAAGAGGGAAAGGAAAGUUCCUGUCUUGCUUUCCAUAGAAUGUAGUACUCUUAUACGAUAGGUGCAAUUUGAGUAAUACUGUGA